ACGAACGCUGGCGGCGCGCCUAACACAUGCAAGUCGAACGAGCGAGAGAGAGCUUGCUUUCUUGAGCGAGUGGCGAACGGGUGAGUAACGCGUGAGGAACCUGCCUCAAAGAGGGGGACAACAGUUGGAAACGACUGCUAAUACCGCAUAAGCCCACGACCCGGCAUCGGGUUGAGGGAAAAGGAGCAACCCGCUUUGAGAUGGCCUCGCGUCCGAUUAGCUAGUUGGUGAGGUAAUGGCCCACCAAGGCGACGAUCGGUAGCCGGACUGAGAGGUUGAACGGCCACAUUGGGACUGAGACACGGCCCAGACUCCUACGGGAGGCAGCAGUGGGGAAUAUUGCACAAUGGGGGAAACCCUGAUGCAGCGACGCCGCGUGGAGGAAGAAGGUCUUCGGAUUGUAAACUCCUGUUGUUGAGGAAGAUAAUGACGGUACUCAACAAGGAAGUGACGGCUAACUACGUGCCAGCCGCCGCGGUAA
rnacentral:rRNA from 1 species